rnacentral:rRNA from 1 species
GACGAACGCUGGCGGCGUGCCUAAUACAUGCAAGUCGAACGCUUCUUUCCUCCCGAGUGCUUGCACUCAAUUGGAAAGAGGAGUGGCGGACGGGUGAGUAACACGUGGGUAACCUACCCAUCAGAGGGGGAUAACACUUGGAAACAGGUGCUAAUACCGCAUAACAGUUUAUGCCGCAUGGCAUAAGAGUGAAAGGCGCUUUCGGGUGUCGUUGAUGGAUGGACCCGCGGUGCAUUAGCUAGUUGGUGAGGUAACGGCUCACCAAGGCCACGAUGCAUAGCCGACCUGAGAGGGUGAUCGGCCACACUGGGACUGAGACACGGCCCAGACUCCUACGGGAGGCAGCAGUAGGGAAUCUUCGGCAAUGGACGAAAGUCUGACCGAGCAACGCCGCGUGAGUGAAGAAGGUUUUCGGAUCGUAAAACUCUGUUGUUAGAGAAGAACAAGGACGUUAGUAACUGAACGUCCCCUGACGGUAUCUAUCCAGAAAGCCACGGCUAACUACGUG